rnacentral:rRNA from 1 species
CGGGGGCCCGCACAAGCGGUGGAGCAUGUGGUUUAAUUCGAUGCAACGCGAAGAACCUUACCUGGUCUUGACAUCCACAGAACUUUCCAGAGAUGGAUUGGUGCCUUCGGGAACUGUGAGACAGGUGCUGCAUGGCUGUCGUCAGCUCGUGUUGUGAAAUGUUGGGUUAAGUCCCGCAACGAGCGCAACCCUUAUCCUUUGUUGCCAGCGGUCCGGCCGGGAACUCAAAGGAGACUGCCAGUGAUAAACUGGAGGAAGGUGGGGAUGACGUCAAGUCAUCAUGGCCCUUACGACCAGGGCUACACACGUGCUACAAUGGCGCAUACAAAGAGAAGCGACCUCGCGAGAGCAAGCGGACCUCAUAAAGUGCGUCGUAGUCCGGAUUGGAGUCUGCAACUCGACUCCAUGAAGUCGGAAUCGCUAGUAAUCGUGGAUCAGAAUGCCACGGUGAAUACGUUCCCGGGCCUUGUACACACCGCCCGUCACACCAUGGGAGUGGGUUGCAAAAGAAGUAGGUAGCUUAACCUUCGGGAGGGCGCUUACCACUUUGUGAUUCAUGACUGGGGUGAAGUCGUAACAAGGUAACCGUAGGGGAACCUGCGGUUGGAUCAC